rnacentral:RNase_P_RNA from 1 species
GUUUUCGGCUGUUCGCACGGUUUAGGCCGUGAGGAAAGUCCAGGCUCGCCCAUGCUGAGAAGUACUUGAAAUAGUCGCAUGGAGUGAUUGUGGUCGCGGAAAAAAUAACGCGGCGCAGGUAAGUCAUACCUGACGGCAGGAAAAUCGGCUAAAGCGCUUGCGCCAUUGCUGAAAGUCCCUUGAAAGUGGCAUAGAGACGAGUCUCGUGGGAAACGACGAGAGUGGAACGUGCUAAACCCCUCAAGCGAGCAACCCAAACUACGGUCGGGGCACUUACGAAGGCUGAAAUGAAGGCACUUCGGAGAUAAGAAGAUGUUAAUGCAAAUGAAAUUGAGCAGGGCAAACUCGUUUUGAGUUGCUACUCAAUCAGGCACUUUAACUUCGUUAAAGUAAAUAAAUGCCUGAUUUCGCUACUAUCAAAGCGAAAUGCAUUUGCCUUAGCAUCUUGUUAUAGACAGAUGAACAGACAGAAAAGGCAACUUUUCGGACAUAACUUGGCUUAUAGAA